rnacentral:rRNA from 1 species
AUUGAACGCUGGCGGCAGGCCUAACACAUGCAAGUCGAACGAGUGGCGGACGGGUGAGUAAUGUCUGGGAAACUUCCUGAUGGAGGGGGAUAACUACUGGAAACGGUAGCUAAUACCGCAUACCAUCGGAUGUGCCCAGAUGGGAUUAGCUGGUUGGUGGGGUAAAGGCUCACCAAGGCGACGAUCCCUCGCUGGUCUGAGAGGAUGACCAGCCAAACGGGAACUGAGAAACGGCCCAGACGCCUACGGGAGGAACGAGGGGGGAAUAUUGAACAAUGGGCGCAAGCCUGAUGCAGCCAUGCCGCGUGUGUGAAGAAGGCCUUCGGAUUGUAAAGUACGUUAAGUGGGGAGGCGUUACCAGCAGAAGAAGCACCGGCUAACUCCGUGCCAGCAGCCGCGGUAAUUC